rnacentral:rRNA from 1 species
UACGUAGGGUGCAAGCGUUGUCCGGAAUUAUUGGGCGUAAAGAGCUCGUAGGCGGUCUGUCGCGUCUGCUGUGAAAACUCAGGGCUUAACCCUGAGCUUGCAGUGGGUACGGGCAGACUAGAGUGCGGUAGGGGAGACUGGAAUUCCUGGUGUAGCGGUGAAAUGCGCAGAUAUCAGGAGGAACACCGGUGGCGAAGGCGGGACUCUGGGCCGAUACUGACGCUGGAGGAGCGAAAAGCGUGGGGAGCAAACAGG